rnacentral:rRNA from 1 species
GACGAACGCUGGCGGCGUGCUUAACACAUGCAAGUCGAACGGAAAGGCCCUGCUUUUGUGGGGUGCUCGAGUGGCGAACGGGUGAGUAACACGUGAGUAACCUGCCCUUGACUUUGGGAUAACUUCAGGAAACUGGGGCUAAUACCGGAUAGGAGCUCCUGCUGCAUGGUGGGGGUUGGAAAGUUUCGGCGGUUGGGGAUGGACUCGCGGCUUAUCAGCUUGUUGGUGGGGUAGUGGCUUACCAAGGCUUUGACGGGUAGCCGGCCUGAGAGGGUGACCGGCCAAAUUGGGACUGGGAUACGGCCAAGACUCCUACGGGAGGCAGCAGUGGGGAAUAUUGCACAAUGGGCGGAAGCCUGAUGCAGCAACGCCGCGUGCGGGAUGACGGCCUUCGGGUUGUAAACCGCUUUCGCCUGUGACGAAGUGUGAGUGACGGUAAUGGGUAAAGAAGCACCGGCUAACUACGUG